rnacentral:rRNA from 1 species
AACGCUAGCUACAGGCUUAACACAUGCAAGUCGAGGGGCAGCAUGAACUUAGCUUGCUAAGUUUGAUGGCGACCGGCGCACGGGUGAGUAACACGUAUCCAACCUGCCGUUUACUCUUGGAUAGCCUCCUGAAAGGGAGAUUAAUACAAGAUGGCAUCAUGAGAUCCCAUGUUCACAUGAUUAAAGAACUUCGGUAAACGAUGGGGAUGCGUUCCAUUAGAUAGUAGGCGGGGUAACGGCCCACCUAGUCGACGAUGGAUAGGGGUUCUGAGAGGAAGGUCCCCCACAUUGGAACUGAGACACGGUCCAAACUCCUACGGGAGGCAGCAGUGAGGAAUAUUGGUCAAUGGGCGAGAGCCUGAACCAGCCAAGUAGCGUGAAGGAUGACUGCCCUAUGGGUUGUAAACUUCUUUUAUACGGGAAUAAAGUCACCUACGUGUAGGUGUUUGUAUGUACCGUAUGAAUAAGGAUCGGCUAACUCCGUGCCAGCAGCCGCGGUAAUACGGAGGAUCCGAGCGUUAUCCGGAUUUAUUGGGUUUAAAGGGAGCGUAGAUGGGUGUUUAAGUCAGUUGUGAAAGUUUGCGGCUCAACCGUAAAAUUGCAGUUGAUACUGGACGCCUUGAGUGCAGUUGAGGUAGGCGGAAUUCGUGGUGUAGCGGUGAAAUGCUUAGAUAUCACGAAGAACUCCGAUUG